rnacentral:rRNA from 1 species
CAAGUCGAGCGGAAACGAUGAUAGCUUGCUAUCAGGCGUCGAGCGGCGGACGGGUGAGUAAUACUUAGGAAUCUACCUAGUAGUGGGGGAUAGCUCGGGGAAACUCGAAUUAAUACCGCAUACGUCCUACGGGAGAAAGCAGGGGAUCAUUAGACCUUGCGCUAUUAGAUGAGCCUAAGUCGGAUUAGCUAGAUGGUGGGGUAAAGGCCUACCAUGGCGACGAUCUGUAGCUGGUCUGAGAGGAUGAUCAGCCACACCGGGACUGAGACACGGCCCGGACUCCUACGGGAGGCAGCAGUGGGGAAUAUUGGACAAUGGGGGGAACCCUGAUCCAGCCAUGCCGCGUGUGUGAAGAAGGCCUUUUGGUUGUAAAGCACUUUAAGCAGUGAAGAAGACUCUUCGGUUAAUACCCGGGGACGAUGACAUUAGCUGCAGAAUAAGCACCGGCUAACUCUGUGCCAGCAGCCGCGGUAAUACAGAGGGUGCAAGCGUUAAUCGGAAUUACUGGGCGUAAAGCGAGCGUAGGUGGCUUGAUAAGUCAGAUGUGAAAUCCCCGGGCUUAACCUGGGAACUGCAUCUGAAACUGUUAGGCUAGAGUAGGUGAGAGGGAAGUAGAAUUUCAGGUGUAGCGGUGAAAUGCGUAGAGAUCUGAAGGAAUACCGAUGGCGAAGGCAGCUUCCUGGCAUCAUACUGACACUGAGGCUCGAAAGCGUGGGUAGCAAACAGGAUUAGAUACCCUGGUAGUCCACGCCGUAAACGAUGUCUACUAGUCGUUGGGUCCCUUGAGGACUUAGUGACGCAGCUAACGCAAUAAGUAGACCGCCUGGGGAGUACGGCCGCAAGGUUAAAACUCAAAUGAAUUGACGGGGGCCCGCACAAGCGGUGGAGCAUGUGGUUUAAUUCGAUGCAACGCGAAGAACCUUAC